rnacentral:rRNA from 1 species
GAUGAACGCUGGCGGCGUGCCUAAUACAUGCAAGUCGAGCGAACAGACGAGGAGCUUGCUCCUCUGACGUUAGCGGCGGACGGGUGAGUAACACGUGGAUAACCUACCUAUAAGACUGGGAUAACUUCGGGAAACCGGAGCUAAUACCGGAUAAUAUAUUGAACCGCAUGGUUCAAUGGUGAAAGACGGUUUUGCUGUCACUUAUAGAUGGAUCCGCGCCGCAUUAGCUAGUUGGUAAGGUAACGGCUUACCAAGGCAACGAUGCGUAGCCGACCUGAGAGGGUGAUCGGCCACACUGGAACUGAGACACGGUCCAGACUCCUACGGGAGGCAGCAGUAGGGAAUCUUCCGCAAUGGGCGAAAGCCUGACGGAGCAACGCCGCGUGAACGAUGAAGGUCUUCGGAUCGUAAAACUCUGUUAUUAGGGAAGAACAAAUGUGUAAGUAACUAUGCACGUCUUGACGGUACCUAAUCAGAAAGCCACGGCUAACUACGUG